AUGGUGAGUGCAUACUCUCUUCUGCAUUCUUGGACUAUUCUUUUCCUGACGAAGAUCCUCUGUACCAAAUUUUCAGGGAUCAAUUCUUUCAAGUUCUUCAUGGCAUAUAAAGGUUCCUUGAUGGACGACCUCCUCCUUGAAGGCUUACAGAAAUGCAAGUCUCUUGGUGCACUGGCUAUGGUUCAUGCAGAGAACGGGGAUGCUGUUGCUGAGGGACAGCAGCGGAUGAUUGACCUUGGGAUAACUGGUCCAGAAGGGCAUGCUCUCUCAAGACCUCCAGUUAUUGCCAAGGCUAAAAGAGAAGGUCAGAGAGUCAUCGGGGAACCUGUGGUAUCUGGGCUAGUCCUUGAUGAUUCUUGGCUUUGGGAUCCUGACUUUGCAACUGCUUCAAAGUAUGUGAUGAGUCCUCCAAUCCGGGAAGCAGGGCAUAAUAAAGCACUUCAAGCUGCUCUUUCAUCAGGAAUAUUACAGCUUGUGGGAACUGAUCGUUGCACCUUCAAUUCCACUCAGAAAGCUUUCGGUUAUGAUGAUUUCAGGAAGAUUCCCAAUGGCGUAAAUGGUAUUGAAGAAAGGAUGCAUAUAAUUUGGGAUAGCAUGGUGGAGACCGGCACAAGCACAAGCAACCAACUCAAGCCUACCAUGCUCCAGCAAAGAUAG
rnacentral:rRNA from 1 species